rnacentral:rRNA from 1 species
AUUGAACGCUGGCGGCAUGCCUUACACAUGCAAGUCGAACGGCAGCACGGGUGCUUGCACCUGGUGGCGAGUGGCGAACGGGUGAGUAAUACAUCGGAACAUGUCCUGUAGUGGGGGAUAGCCCGGCGAAAGCCGGAUUAAUACCGCAUACGAACUACGUAUGACAGCGGGGGCCCUUCGGGCCUUGCGCUAUAGGGUUGGCCGAUGGCUGAUUAGCUAGUUGGUGGGGUAAAGGCCUACCAAGGCGACGAUCAGUAGCUGGUCUGAGAGGACGACCAGCCACACUGGGACUGAGACACGGCCCAGACUCCUACGGGAGGCAGCAGUGGGGAAUUUUGGGCAAUGGGCGAAAGCCUGAUCCAGCAAUGCCGCGUGUGUGAAGAAGGCCUUCGGGUUGUAAAGCACUUUUGUCCGGAAAGAAAUCCUUGGCCCUAAUACGGUCGGGGGAUGACGGUACCGGAAGAAUAAGCACCGGCUAACUACGUG